UCUAUUUGAAGGUAUAAAAAGUCUAGCCUGCCCACUGAUAAAAAUUUAAGGGCCGCGGUAUUAUGACCGUGCAAAGGUAGCAUAAUCAUUAGGUUUUUAAAUGGGAUCUUGUAUGAAUGGUUGGACAAAGUAAAAUCUGUCUUUAUAUUAAAAUUUGAAUUUUACUUUUAAGUGAAAAGGCUUAAAUAUUUUAAUGGGACGAUAAGACCCUAUAAAGCUUUAUAUUAUAUUUAUAUUUAGUUGAAAUUUUAAAAUAAGAAUUUAAUAUAAAUAUUUAUUAUGUUGGGGAGACAAAAGUAAAAAUUAUAUUAACUACUUAAUAUAUAAACAUUAUUAGUGAAUAUAAAUUUAUAGAUCCUAAUUAUAGAUUUAAAGAUUAAGUUACUUUAGGGAUAACAGUGUAAUUUUUUUUGAGAGUUCAUAUCGAAAAAAAAGUUUACAACCUCGAUGUUGAAUUAAAAUAUCUAUAUAAUGUAGNUGUUAUAUUAGAAGGUCUGUUCGACCUUUAUAUA
rnacentral:rRNA from 1 species